rnacentral:rRNA from 1 species
CUACGUGCCAGCAGCCGCGGUAAUACGGAAGGUCCGGGCGUUAUCCGGAUUUAUUGGGUUUAAAGGGAGCGUAGGCUGGAGAUUAAGUGUGUUGUGAAAUGUAGACGCUCAACGUCUGACUUGCAGCGCAUACUGGUUUCCUUGAGUACGCACAACGUUGGCGGAAUUCGUCGUGUAGCGGUGAAAUGCUUAGAUAUGACGAAGAACUCCGAUUGCGAGGGCAGCUGACGGGAGCGCAACUGACGCUUAAGCUCGAAGGUGCGGGUAUCAAACAGGAUUAGAUACCCUGGUAGUCCGCACAGUAAACGAUGGAUGCCCGCUGUUGGUACCUGGUAUCAGCGGCUAAGCGAAAGCAUUAAGCAUCCCACCUGGGGAGUACGCCGGCAACGGUGAAACUCAAAGGAAUUGACGGGGGCCCGCACAAGCGGAGGAACAUGUGGUUUAAUUCGAUGAUACGCGAGGAACCUUACCCGGGCUUGAA